rnacentral:misc_RNA from 1 species
UACGUAGGGGGCAAGCGUUGUCCGGAAUUAUUGGGCGUACAGCGCGCGCAGGCGGUGUCUUAAGUCGGAUGUGAAAGCCCACAGCUCAACCGUGGAGGGUCAUUAGAAACUGGGAGACUUGAGUGUAGGAGAGGAAAGUGGAAUUCCACGUGUAGCGGUGAAAUGCGUAGAGAUGUGGAGGAACACCAGUGGCGAAGGCGACUUUCUGGCAUAUAACUGACGCUGAGGUGCGAAAGCGUGGGGAGCAAACAGG